AUACUUAAUAACUCGUCUUUAAAAAGCCAAGGGCUACAUUUUUGUAUUGUAUCAACAUAUGCCCUUAUUGUUCUUGGUCUUACUGGGGUGCCUCCUUCCUCUCACAAUUUCUCUUCCUCGGAGGCGAACAACUUCAAACCUUGAGUCAACCAUUUUCCCCAGUUUGCCUGAGAAAGUUCUAGGGACAGGCAACUUGAAAUAUAAACAAAAUAAAUCAAAACAAGAACACAUUGUUUUUUGAAAUGGUCACCCAUUCUUUCGCUCUUCCUCAGGGACGAGCAAUUUCACUUACCUCCAAGCUUCAGGCGUUCCCCGUACGGGCCACCAAAUGCUGCAGUCUGGCUGGGCACAAAAUAACCAAGCCACCACAAAAGCCUUGUAGAUUCAAACAGCAAAUCUUUAUUCCCGAACUCUCACUGGCACUCUACACGCAUGUUCUGGGAAAAUACACUCCCUCCACCGGGCUCUGCAUACCAAUACACUCAGAACCCCGCGAGAACUCAACGGGAACUCUAGGAGUGGGCGCCUGAGGCAGCAGGAUAUGCCCUAAUCCCAGCAGGAUCCGCCCUAAACCUGGAGCCGCCCUAUUCCAGCAGGAUCCACCCU
rnacentral:lncRNA from 1 species